rnacentral:tRNA from 1 species
GCCGCGGUAGCUCAGCCUGGCUAGAGCGUGUGCCUUGUAAGCACAAGGUCGAGGGACCGAAGCCCUCCCGCGGCUCCA